UACGAGGGGUGCAAGCGUUGCUCGGAAUUAUUGGGCGUAAAGGGUAGGUAGGUGGUCUCAUUUGUCUGGGGUGAAAGCCUUGAGCUUAACUCAAGAAGUGCCUCGGAAACGGUGAGACUAGAGUCCUGGAGAGGGUCGUGGAAUUCCCGGUGCAGCGGUGAAAUGCGUAGAUAUCUGGAGGAAUACCGGUGGCGAAGGCGGCAUCCUGGACCAUUACUGACGCUGAGGCGCGACAGCGUGGGGAUCAAACAGG
rnacentral:rRNA from 1 species